CCUUUCUCUCUCCUCUGUUCCAGUCAGCUCCCCUGCAAGUCUUGCGAGAGCCGCGGGAUCAGAGACCCGUGGCAACGCUCCGCACGGCAGUGGAGCUGACAGGGGAGCUGACCGGAGCAGCGGAGAGAGAAGGGA